rnacentral:lncRNA from 1 species
AGAAACCAUGUAGAUAAGGCUAUGUCGCGACAUAGAAUAGCAGAUCUGCGCCCCAUACAGUUUGGAACUCCGGCUACAGGCCGUUGAGUGGAUAUGAUUAAACCGUGCGGUGCGAAUCCGGUUAGGGGCACCAAAACGGACAAUAUUGGCAUAGGCGAAUCCGGUUAGGGGCCUAUAGCAUACAGUUUUACCCAGUUUCAUACAGUUUAUCUUAUCACUUCGGUUUCACUAUAACCUUAUGGAGCCAUACAGAUAUCGUAACUAAUAUUUAAUGAAUCAUGCAGUAUAAUACAC